rnacentral:misc_RNA from 1 species
GAACGCAAAUUGCGCCCUUUGGUAUUCCGAAGGGCAUGCCUGUUUGAGUGUCAUAUAAACCUCACCUCUAUUGUUUUAUUACAGCCGUGGUGCUUUGGGUGUCUGCCGUUUACUCUGGCUCACCUUAAAUGUCUAAGUGGAAUGCGUAAUAAGUCUUCGCAACCCUCCACUAUAACACACACUUUAUAUUCUGACCUCAAAUCAGGUAGGACUACCCGCUGAACUUAAG